ensembl:misc_RNA Metazoa_SRP Metazoan signal recognition particle RNA
GCCAGGCAUGGUGGCGCAUGCCUGUAGUCCCAGCUACUUGGGAGGCUGAGGCAGGAGAAUCACUUGAACCCGGGAGGCAGAGGUUGCAAUGAGCCGAGAUCAUACCACUGCACUCCAGCCUGGGUGACAGAGCGAGACUCUGUCUCAA